ensembl:snRNA U6 U6 spliceosomal RNA
AUGGCAUUGGGGGCACAUACACUAAAAUUGAAAUGAUACACAGAUGAUUAGUAUGGCCCCUGCACAAGGAUGACACACAAAUUCAUGAAGCAUCCCAUAUUUAA